rnacentral:tRNA from 1 species
AAGGUAGCCGUACGAGAACGUGCGGCUGGAUCACCUCCUUUUUAAGGAGCAAACAUGCGUUUUAAGUUCACUUAAAACGAGGUGUUAAUGGUCGGUUCUUGAAAUUGUAAUGGUUGGAUCGAGUUCAGCGGGGCGUUUGUUUGUGUGUUAGAGAUUAUAUCUUACUAAGGGCGUGAGUUGUAUAAGCGGGCCUAUAGCUCAGCUAGUCAGAGCGCACCCUUGAUAAGGGUGAGGUCUGUGGUGCAACUCCACAUAGGCCCACACCAACUGAUAUGUGUAGUGUUGUGUGCCGCAAAGCCG